rnacentral:rRNA from 1 species
GACGGAAGGUGCAAGCGUUGCUCGGAAUCACUGGGCGUAAAGCGCGCGUAGGCGGCUUAGCAAGUUGGAUGUGAAAUCCCUCGGCUCAACCAAGGAAGUGCAUCCAAAACUGCUGAGCUUGAGUACUUAAGAGGAUCGCGGAAUUCCAGGUGUAGCGGUGAAAUGCGUAGAUAUCUGGAGGAACACCGGUGGCGAAGGCGGCAUCCUGGACCAACAUUGACGCUGAGGAGCGAAAGCUAGGGGAGCAAACAGGG